rnacentral:rRNA from 1 species
GACGAACGCUGGCGGCGUGCCUAAUACAUGCAAGUAGAACGCACAGUUUAUACCGUAGCUUGCUACACCAUAGACUGUGAGUUGCGAACGGGUGAGUAACGCGUAGGUAACCUGCCUGGUAGCGGGGGAUAACUAUUGGAAACGAUAGCUAAUACCGCAUAAUAUUAAUUAUUGCAUGAUAAUUAAUUGAAAGGUGCAAUUGCACCACUACCAGAUGGACCUGCGUUGUAUUAGCUAGUAGGUGAGGUAACGGCUCACCUAGGCGACGAUACAUAGCCGACCUGAGAGGGUGAUCGGCCACACUGGGACUGAGACACGGCCCAGACUCCUACGGGAGGCAGCAGUAGGGAAUCUUCGGCAAUGGACGAAAGUCUGACCGAGCAACGCCGCGUGAGUGAAGAAGGUUUUCGGAUCGUAAAGCUCUGUUGUAAGAGAAGAACGGGUGUGAGGGUGGAAAGUUCACACUGUGACGGUAUCUUACCAGAAAGGGACGGCUAUCUACGUG